rnacentral:rRNA from 1 species
UACGGAGGGUGCAAGCGUUAUCCGGAUUCACUGGGUUUAAAGGGUGCGUAGGCGGGUUGGUAAGUCGGGGGGGAAAUCCCCAAGCUUAACUUGGGAACUGCCGUGGAUACUAUCAAUCUUGAAUAUCGUGGAGGUAAGCGGAAUAUGUCAUGUAGCGGUGAAAUGCUUAGAUAUGACAUAGAACACCAAUUGCGUAGGCAGCUUACUACACGAUCAUUGACGCUGAGGCACGGAAGCGUGGGGAGCAAACAGG